UCCAAACUGUAUUCAUCUUAUUCUUAAGCAGAUUAAAUGCUUUAUUUUUAACAAGUGCUAGUGCUAGAGGAGAGUGCUGGCUUUUUAUAUUGUUCUCUUAAAAUUUGCCAGUUAUUUAGGGUUUUAUGCAGGUUUGCAUGCUAGGACUUUAUCAAAUCCAACAAUUGGGAGCAAUUGUAAAGCUAUAUAUGGAGCAGAAAAGGGAGAGCCAGUUGCUUUACUGCUUUCUCCAAGCUCUCCAUCUAGUGCUGUUGAUUCGCCACCCAAGUGGUAGCCAAUUCGCCAUAUUCCUCGCUGCUCCUCUUCAAGCUUUCUGUCACUUGCUUGGUCUUUCAGGAUCCUAUAUUGACAUGGAUAAAUGUAACAAGGCUGAGUAGUUGUUUUCCUUAUCAUUAAAUGAUUGGGGAUCAACAUUGGCAGCAUCAGACACACUUGAUCCAACUUGGGCUCAAGUCUCUUUCUAU